rnacentral:lncRNA from 15 species
AUUUCAUCAUGUGAGGCAGUGAACGUGAGCUACAGCGAUUUGGAUGUGCCACUGUUUACAUCCGAGAACUUUGCACCAGUGUUCACCUCAUUCAUACUUCAAAUCACAAAAGACCAGUGGAUGUUGGUGGGAGCUGGCAAAAUGGAUGUAGACAUGAUAGUUCUACUAUCUGACAUGUGCCGUGAGAUCGUAGAGUCGCUCAGCUUCUUGGUCUUGCAAUCUGUGGCACCUCAGAUUGAAAGCGGGAUGUGUGACCAGACUGCCCAGGACGAUGACACUUCCAUCACAAGUUGCUGGAUCUGCAUUCUGGGACAGCGUCGAUUCCAACCAGGUUUCCUGUCUGACGCGAAGCAGGGUUAGAGAAUAUCUGGAAUUCUCCAUCUUCAUCAUCUUCCUGAAGAUUCAUGCCUGGAGCAGAUAAGAUCUAAGCUGCGCGCAGAAAACAUACAAACAAUCAUACACACAUUCUACCCG